AUGAAUGCUGCUUACGUGUUUUGAAACGAAGGGGAAGCAGUCAUAAAUGCUACUUACGUGUUUGUAAUUAAUAUGCUUCUAUUAUUUUAAGUUCUUUUUGUAACAACUAAUAAAGUAUGUUGUGUUGUUAAAUGCAGCUCCCAUUCUUAGACUGGAUUAGUUCAUUUUAGACUGGAUUACUUCCCAUUUUUAGACUGGAUUUUUUAGAGUUCUGUCACGUCGCCCACCACGACGAAGUAAAAAGGGAAACAUGAAAAGCUACGGAUCUUUCAACUGUCAGUUUCCCAUGCUAUCCGCUUACAUCUCGAACACAUGCACGAGGAAAUGUUCAUUGAUGGAAAAUGUUCUUCUAGGAAGAUAUUAAACUGCGAUUCUUUUUCGAAGUAAUGACCUGUUAAAUACAAAGAGACAUUGGGUGUCCCUUUGCACUUCUGCAUGUUCAGCUGAAGAUAAUAAGGAUCGCUGAAGAAAGAUAAGCAAUUAGUAGUUGGUAGAGGCAUUUUUCGUAAGAAAAUCGUGGCGAUACAUCACAGCAUGACAGCCAUGUAAGUUCAGCGCCCAAAAUGGCCAGGUACAAGAUGGAGGACAAGAUGAUGUAAAGAGUUGUUCUUCCGAAAUCUUUUGAAUGAGUAAUACAACCUUUGUGACACCUAAUACGUAGGCCACCGUUGCUUCCAAUGAGGGGACGGACAAAUUAGAUCCCUGCCUCCUCUGGGAUUCAAACUUGGCCUCUUCGGUAUGACAAUCAGAGCAAAGAAUCUCCAAGGAGAAGAAUGAAAGCUUCCAUAGACGCAAUGUAAACCUGUUUCGCCUCUGCGCCGCUAUACCGAAGAGCCACGGCUAUGCAGUGAAACACCAGCGCAGGGUGGAAUCUAAAUAGCGCCAUCCGAGGAGAUAGUAAAUUUUUUACUUCAAAAUAACUCAAAAUGUUUUAUUUUCAUACAUAUCUGAGUUUUAUGAGUAAAAUUCUGUUAGUUGGAAUUUUGGGCGAAUUAUAGGAAUCCUAUCCAAUUUUCACUUUCAAUUUAAACAGCGAGCCAUACGAAGACAAAAUUUAAAUGAAAUAAAUUUCUUAAUACUUAACAGGAUUCAGAAACUUGUUUUAGAUAAAUUGUGAAGUUGACCUUUUAUGUUCUUAUCUUUAAUUGUUUCGCAUGGAACAUCCUAAAGUUCAACUGCAAGAUGAAUUUAAAAAAAAGUGAAUAAAUUUUAUAUUUUUAUAUGCUUUAUUCCCCCCCCCUUAACCUUCCUUUCUGUAAAUCCACAUAACUGUUUUUCAUUUGAUAUAAUAUCCAGUAUUAAUUUAUAACUAACAUCAGAAUUAAUAGAAAACAAAAGUAACUACGGCUGUGGUGUUAAAUUUCUAACAAAUCUGCAAUUAAUUACAUA